GCGAGGAGGAGGAGGAGGAGGAGGAGGCGGCUUUGUCUAGCGCAGGUCGCCCCCAGAUGCCUCCUGCAGCUGGAGCUGUGUGGGGACAGCUUUGUGGUACCAUCCCCCGUGCAGGGCUGUGAGGGAGAUGGGAGCGCCAGGUAGCUGUGAGGUAGGGGGACUGGUGGAUAGAGGAAAGAAAAAAUGUUGCCGGGGCUUGUCUGAGCAUGCUUAUCUGUCGCCUGCAGGAAGGAUCCGCGAUUCCUGCAGGUACAAUGGGGCUCCCCUGCUCUGUCGCCGCAGCCCCUGCUCGGGCUGUGUGGCUGAAGCGCGCUGCUGGGUGCAGUGAAUGUGUCCGGAUCAAACCCGUACCCUAAAGGGGGAGGAACGCCUCAAAACCCUGCUGUAAAAAUCUGUUAGCGUGUGCAGGCUGCCGAGGAGCUGGAAGGCCUUCAGGGAAGGACAAAAAGGCAAAGCACACCAUCAGAAACGUUGAUAGCGCGUGGUACUGGUGCAGUGAGUUUGCUAACGGUCAUCUCUUGGCGGUGAGGAGGAGGAAGACCAGCGAUUUGGUUGAAGUAGAGCUAUAAGGCACUUCUAAAGAAAAUAAACUUGCUUUCUUUGAUAUAGCGAGCUGAAAAUCUCUUGGAGCUGUAGCUUCCAGAGCAUGUAUAACAUACUGGAUGUAUUGGCUUGGCCCGUUUCUUGCUUUCUUAAUCCACUGUGAAAGUGGAGGGGGGGUGCUAGGUAAGAUGUACCUUCAGUUUUGGUUUUGUGUGGCAAUUAAGAUUAUUCUUUUUGUAACUUUUUUACUUUUUCCCCCCUUGUUGCCACUCUGUGUUGGUCAACUGGUACAAGUUUUUCUUCUGUUUUUCCUCUCGGGUGGAAUUUUCCCACAUUCCACCCCAUGCCCCGUCAUAGCCUCUCCUAGCUAUUAUUUGCUUUUCCAUGAAACCUCUUCUUCCUUAUCUUAUUUUCUCUUUUUUUGUCAUCUCUGUUCUGCAGAUGACCUUCUUGUGUUGAUGCUUCAGUUCAGACAUGCUGCUGUAGUUACAUUUAUCAGUGGUAUGAGGAGAAGUCCUCCCCGACUGCUGCUGCUCAGUUAACAUUUUUCUUUGUAAACUGUCAGAAUUUUGAUGACAAAAGCUCUCCCUACGUAAAAAAGUGUGUUUUAGUAUAGUGUACGUACAAGCAUACGUACUUAUUUAAACUGACUCCACAAAUGCAGGUUGGACCUCAGGAUGGUUUGGAGGGGGUGGGAAUAUACCAUGUAAAAAUAUCAGCACUGUCUGUGAGUAACAGAUUUUUGCUUUAUGGUGGCAACUUUCAAAUGUGUAAGUGUUUAAUCUAACUAGCUACUAAAAUUUUCAGUGCACUUUGCUGGAAACAGAGGGAAGAAUUACUGCUAGUGUUUUAAAUCUUGGAUUGUUUGAAGAAAAAGGCUGUAGAAGGCAAGGGAGCAUAUGGAAUAUAAAGCAGUGUUUUUACAGCAUUCAAGCUUGCCAUUCCUCUGAAAGGAUUUGUGAACUGACAUAGAAGGAAACCCUGCUUGUGAGAGGAGUGCUCGGAAUAAAUACUGUAGGAAAACUGCAGUGCUGUAACUGAGGAGUGGAGCUGCAGGCACGAAGAACAUCCACUGAGUGGAUCUGCAGUUGGUGGCACUGGAAAUGGUGUGAGAUGGAGCGAUCGUUCAUGCUGAUAGAGGUGCAGCCUGACUUACAUGCGGAUGAUAAGUUGGUCUUUGGUCUCUGUCUGAAUUGAAAUGUUGGAAGUCUUGUCUCCUUGAGGGAAGCAAUGGAACAAUUUCACGUGUGCCUGAGGAGUUUUUUUCCAGUGGAAAGUAUUUAUUUUACCUGAAUGACUCGAGCAGUUGCACUUGUUACUGAAUCUGAACGGUACAAACUCAAGUUUCAGUUUCAAAAGAAUACGGACAUUUUUAACUGUUUAUUUUUGGUGCUGGUGGUGUGGGAACUUAAUGUGAUACAGAGGCUUCAGAUUCCUUUCCAGAAAGAAAAUAAAUAUUGUAUACAAAUACUUAGCUGGCAGUGGGUUGGAGAGGAAUCUGAAGAGGCAAGGUGUGGGGUGUUGUGGAGAGCAGAAUGAGUUAGAGGCGCUGGGCUGGUUGAGAAAUUAGGGGGAGGCAGAGGUAUAUCACAGUGGAAAGAAGGGGUCUGUCAGUUCUGUAUUUUCUGUUAUAAUGAUGUUUUGAAAAGCUCUUGGCAGCUCCCAAGAGGCAGGGUUAGGGUUAUUUUGGCAUCUGCUUCAACUCUUUGCCACAUUUCUUUCGGAGACUGGAGUGCUGCUCGGGAUUGUCGAGUGGUGCAUAACUUCUGUGUUACUGAUGCUUUCUGCUGAAGGCUUCUGGUGCUCUUCUGCUAAAAGGGCAGAACUGAAAUCAGCAGCUUGCUGAACUUGGACAGUCAUGUUGACCUGCUAAACUGUUCUGAAGACACAGAAGUGGCUUCUACAUGCUGCUACAUUAUUCUGUAUGUAAAAGGACAGGCGCAUUGGAAACCUGUGUGGAAAGAAGGAUGCGUACCUGUACUGGUUGCUUAACCACUUGACUCUUCUGGCUGCAUGUCCCGCGCCUUCAGGCAGGUGGAAACACAAUAUGAACCUGGGGUGUGGGGGGAGGACAGUGGGUUGGGUGGCUGAGGACCAGCUCGUCACCUGAUGGCUGUUGUGCUGCUGAGCCUCGGUGGAGAUCAGAGGCUUCGUUUUGCAACCGGGAGCCAAAGAGCAUGUCCGAUGGUAAUUGUGGUGAUUUAAGUAGGAUGCCUAAAUAGAUCUAAGGGCUGACCUCCAGCGUUUUACCAGGGUGCUCAAACCUUGAGAGCUUUCUAAUGUUUCUCCUCAGGACAAAAAAAAAAAAAAGACUGGCUGCAGUUGCUUUCUGGAUGAUUAAAAAUGAUCUUUAAGGUAUAUGUAGGACUGGACAGAAUUGAACGUGCCAGUUUAAGUUGCCCGAAAUCAGGAUUUUAAUCUAUAUGGCACUCUCCACAUCAGGAAUGAUGACUUCAUCUGCAGGAGAAGGCUGUAACAAUAGGAGCAGUAAAACUGACCUUGGCGUGCUAGCAGGAAACGUACCUUCAUCUCCAGAGCUUCAGACUUGUCCUUAUUUCCAGGUAUCCGAAGGAUUUGCCAGCUCUCACCGCUCUAUUUGGAUGAUAAUGUAACCAAAAAAAAAGCACACACCAGAUUUCAAAUCUACCCAAUACCACUGAAGCAUCAAGAAUAUCUUAAAAAAAUUAAAAAUAAAUAAAGUAAGGUGGUAUUUAGGGUAUGAAUGUGUCUGCUUUCUGCGGGGUUAGAAACAGUUGUGUAGCAGUAAGGCCACGAAAGCGUGCUCUCAAGGCAUGUGUGUGGCACUGCGAUUUUUAUAGGUGUGAUUUAUGGUCUGCGAGUUGUGUUGCAGUUGAAGCUGAUGGGAUGACUCAACAGCAUUUGUCUUUGAAUAAUGCGUUUUCAGAACAGAAGUCUAAAAUUAGAGCGAGGAAUGAGUUAAAGUCCUUAGUCUUACAGGCUGCUCAGGGCAACUGCUUCUCUGAGGCUGCUUUUGUAACAGUGGGUAUCAAUUUUUUUUUUCUUCCCCUCCUUGUGUCUUGUGACCUUCAGGGCUAUCGUGUUUAACUGAGUGUCUCUCUGAUAGAUUGAUCACGAGUCUUUAAAACUGUUCAGAUGCUUUUAAUGGAAAUUUGCUUAAAAACGUAUGCAUUACUUGGGUUAGGUUCUUCAAACGGGAAGGUGUCACAGUCUCUAGCAGCUGUUGCACAAAAAUACCCUGCCUUCCUGUGCAAGUAAAUAACUGGCUGAUAGGUGGACGUGCUACUGACAAGACAGAAGUAGGCAUUGCUGGUUGUUGUGGGUUUUAAAGUCAUUUUGGUGUUAGGAGUUGUGGAGAGAGCUAUGCAGCAGGUUUAAACCAGCUCUAGAUUUUGGGUUUGGGGAGGAAGUCUGUACUGAUCGAAAAAUCCAGGCUGCUUCCAGUCUUUUCUUCUCCAAGGCAGAGUGAAAUGACCAAAGCCUUUCUCCGAGGCUCCUGGCACUGUGCAUGAACUGUCCUCAAGCCCCCAUCCUGGUAUUUGUAAGUCUUGCAAUUGCUUAAACACCUAUGUGGAUCAGGAUCUUGGGGAGAAAGCUCUCAUUGACGUGGGAUGUGCUUUUACCUUAAUGAUUUAUUUUUUUUUUCUUGGUAAUUCGUAGAGGUGCAGCGCAAGGACAGAAAGCAAGGAAAGCUUCACCCACCUCUCUGCAGGAUUCCUUAGCCUCUCCGGUAAUGCUUUUGGGCUGGCUUAGGGAGCAGAACAAUGCUCACUAACCAAUUCUGAGUGUGCUUGGACUUGUGGAAUCAUGUGAAUAAGCACGUUGCUGGUGAGUAGGGCUAAUUAGGAAGCGAGUUGCUUGUGGAUUUGUCCUGUUUGCCUUCAACUUCGCUGCUUUGUGCCUUGUACGAAACCCGCUGGACAAGACAACACAUGCUGAGAGCUAGGUGAGAGCUGCCGGUGAGCAGAUGCGGGAUGGCUGAGUGGAGACCUACGCUGGGCCUUUCUCCACUAGCACCUUUUUCCCCGUAAUCCUCAAAACUUGGAGAAACCCAGCCCUGUUUGGGAACCCUGCCCCUGUGCCAGGUCUGAACGUGGCCGGCGGGUGUAAUAGCUCUUACAGGAGGUGAGCACAAGUGGGCUGGUUGCGUAAGGUGGAGCUGAAAAAGGCUGCCUGGCGUUCAGAUCGGGGGAUUAUUCAGCUCCUAACUGGGACUUUCAGCGUUUCAUCCACAGCCAUCUGUACCUUCUGCAGCUCCUGCCAGCUGCCCUUUGUGUGGCAGCAGAGUGGUGUGGCUGGUGGAGCAGUCCCAGCUGGAGGGGUUGUUUGAAAUGCUUAAAGCAGAUAGCUUUGUGCUGUUGAAGGAAGUAGGUGAGUCCAAAAUGGUUAUUUUUUUGUUGUUGUUUUCUAAACCCCACUUGACAUAAUGCUGCAAAUUAGGCAACCGUGUGUUUUGACAUAGCUUCUCACUAGAGAACAUAGCUGGGAAGGCAGAGCGCUUCCUCUUCAGUGAGAGGUUUUGCUGCAAGUAUGUAGAAUCUGGAAAGGUAGCUGUAACGUUACAGCUUUAGCUGCUCUGUUAGGAAACCCCCUCCUUCUUCCUUGACUUUCUCCCCGAAUCAAGCUUAGUUUCACUUUCUCAGAGAUAGGAGAGCAAAGUAAACUAGAAAGCCAUAAUUUACCCAGGGCGUAUAGCAGUGUUGGUACACACGAAAGUGAGAACUAUUUGAAUACAAAUGGCUUAGACCGGUGAAAAGGUGACAUUUUAAUAAGUAUGUUUGCUUGCCAUUUAUUUUGCAAGACUUGUCAGGUGUUUCUGAGACAAGUACUGGAGAUGCUGCUAGACAAAACUGAACAAGGCUCUAGUUGCAAGAGAUCUUUGUUUCUUCUUGGUGGUCUUGACAGUAUCUUAACUUGUUUGGCUGCGGUACGGUGGUGCUUAAAGUCUUCUCGGAGUUAGGUGCUUUUCUCCCCAUAUGGAUUGAGUGCUUUUGAGUUUAAAUAUAUAUUUUU